AGGGUCCAGCACAAACACCAGUUGCUCGCCAAACCACUACGAGUGAAAGCUUAAAACUUAAAAGACUUGACGGUACUUCAAAUCCAGCCUAGAGGAGCCUGUCUAAUAACCGAUAACCCACGUUCAACCCAACCCGCCCUAGCCAACCAGUCUAUAUACCGCCGUCGCCAGCCCACCUUGUGAAAGAAACAAAGUGCGCUCAAUAGUCCAACACUAACACGACAGGUCGAGGUGUAACUUAUGGGCCGGGACAGAUGGGCUACAUUUUCUUCAAUAGAACAAACAAAUAAGGCUGUGAAAUCAACCUUUGAAGGCGGAUUUAGCAGUAAGCCACGGCGCACAUUACCCAGCUGAAACUAAUGCAAUGAAGUGCGUACACACCGCCCGUCAUCCCUGCAAAACCAACCGACCAUAAAUAAACCUACCCUACCACCCAAACCAGGGCAAGUCGUAACAAGGAAAAGCGUACAA
rnacentral:rRNA from 1 species